rnacentral:rRNA from 1 species
CAGUAGUCACGAGUUUGAUCCUGGCUCAGAUUGAACGCUGGCGGAAUGCUUACACAUGCAAGUCGAACGGUAGAGGGGGCAACCCUUGAGAGUGGCGAACGGGUGAGUAAUAUAUCGGAACGUGCCCAGUCGUGGGGGAUAACGUAGCGAAAGUUACGCUAAUACCGCAUACGAUCUAAGGAUGAAAGCGGGGGAUCGCAAGACCUCGCGCGAUUGGAGCGGCCGAUAUCAGAUUAGGUAGUUGGUGAGGUAAAGGCUCACCAAGCCAACGAUCUGUAGCUGGUCUGAGAGGACGACCAGCCACACUGGAACUGAGACACGGUCCAGACUCCUACGGGAGGCAGCAGUGGGGAAUUUUGGACAAUGGACGCAAGUCUGAUCCAGCCAUUCCGCGUGCAGGAUGAAGGCCCUCGGGUUGUAAAGCUCUUUUACUCGGGACGAUAAUGACGGUACCGGGAGAAUAAGCCCCGGCUAACUCCGUG